CAAUAGCGUAUAUUAAAGUUGUUGCAGUUAAAAAGCUCGUAGUUGGACCUUGGACCUGGACAGGCGGUCCGCCUCACGGCGAGUACUGUCUUGCUGGGUCUUUCCUCUUGGUGAUCUGUUGUUUCGGCAGCAGGGAACCAGGACCUUUACUUUGAAAAAAUUAGAGUGUUCAAAGCAGGCUCGACGCCGGAAUAUAUUAGCAUGGAAUAAUAAAAUAGGACGUGCGGUUCUAUUUUGUUGGUUUUUGGAAUCGCCGUAAUGAUUAAUAGGGACAGUCGGGGGCAUUAGUACCCACAUGCUAGAGGUGAAAUUCUUGGAUUUUGUGAAGACUAACUUCUGCGAAAGCAUUUGCCAAGGAUGUUUUCAUUAA
rnacentral:rRNA from 1 species